AUAUAUGCAGAAGUGAGAAGGCUGGAUUAUAUGGUAGUUCCUUUUUUUUGUUUGUUUGAGACAGUCUUAUUCUGUCACUCAGGCUGGAGUGCAGUCACACAAUCUCGGCUCACUGCAACCCCUGCCUCCAGGGUUCUACCUUACAAGGCUAUUCACUUUACAAACAUCCCUGAGAAGAUCGUCUGGAACUAUCUUUGAACAAACUAUGAGAUAUUCGCCAGGGAGUCACAUUGAUGUUCUUUCAUGGAAGUGGACAAGAAAAAGAUUCUUUGAGGGAUUUCUUGUGGAGCAUUAAAGUUGUGGUCAAAAACAGAAAUGUAUGCAACGCCUGAGAAGUUCUGCAGUACCCUUUGACCACACAACAUGGGUUCUGUUGCUCACUUAUCAAAGUAAUGCAUUGACUAAUAUCUCUCUAUUUUUCCCAGCCUCCACCCCCAACAUAGAACCAACAGAUUCUGUGUUUAAAAUGUUCCUGAUAAGAAAUCUUGUCCUACUCAUUUUAUCACUAGCCUAUUUAGUAUGGUGUGGCCCCUGGGAUAUAUACAUACUAGCAGGUUCCAUAACCAUGCCUGGAAAGAAGUUAAACUCAAUAAAUAGCCCAUUCUGCAGGUAUACUGGAAGUUAAAUUCAAAUAGUAAUGCUAUAUUCGAUGCAAAUUAAAUUUUAAAAACGUUUCUAAAGCCCUUUUUAUACAGUUUCUAUCAGCUCUCUUGUAAUGUGAUUCUUAUUAAAACCAGAUCAGAUAUGUGUUUAAGUAUUCUUCUGUGAAUAAAACCCAUAUCACCUUC